UAUUCAGAUUGGGAUCGGUUCGGUUCUUUGUAUUCGAGUUUUUUGUCCAACCCUAAAUAGUGACAUAAAAAAUAAAUAGUAUCAUAUUUUUUUAAAAAUACACCCGCGCAGAUGCACAGAUCAAAAUCUAGUAUACCAUUAAGAGUGCAACCAAUAGUUGAUUACAACCAUUCUGAUGAUGUUUUUCAAACAUCACAAGAAAAUAAAUAUUCAAUUCAAAGUAACAUUUCAAGAAAAAAUGAAGAAGAGGAGAUUAAAGAAGUAGGAU
rnacentral:lncRNA from 1 species